rnacentral:lncRNA from 1 species
CCCGCCGCGCCCCGCCGCCGCCUAGCUGCUCCUUCUGCACAUUGGCCUUCAGAGGGACCACGUGACUGACAGCUGGCCAAUGGCAUCGGUGGAAGCAAUCCCCGACCCUUCCAGCCUCCGGUCUGCUCACCCAGGGCCUGCUCACGUGACCUCUGCAUGCUCUCCCCUGCGCGGAGCUAGAUGCGUGGGCUGCCCACUGCGCUGAAGCCGCUGAAGCCGCUGAAGUGAGACGUGUUGUCGGAGUGAGCCUGCGCCCAGAAUGACCAGGAGCAGCAGGGCGCCGAUCUGUUGGGCGGUGACGAGAAAGAGUCUGCUGCUGACGCUUGGGGGGUGGAAACCACCUCUAGCCCCCAGAGCCAUUCCCAGAGAGGAUUGGACUAAGACAGUUCUUCCCAAGCCUGAGCAAGCAUGGAAGUCAUCUGGAAUGUUCAUCGAAACUCAGCUUACUGGGGCCACCUCGGAGUCUCUGCUUCUGGAGGUAGAGUGCUUGACAAUGUGCAUUUCUAACACUCUUGGUGAUGCUCGUGCCAUUGGCCCAAGACCACUCUUUUGAGAACCCCUGAACUAUGGGAAAGAAGCAACAGCCUCCUUGAGCUCAGAGCCCACCCUCACCCUUACCCUCAGGGCAGGUGACAGUGGGCUAUGGGGGUCUCAAUAUCAUUCCCACACUGGGGAACUUGGUUUACAAAGAGAUUCCUGCAGACUGUUCCCAUAAAAGAACCAAGUCUCCUGGGCUUGCAGCCUUUUUACCAAAGUGAUUUUAUAUUCCUUUACAAAAAUGUGCAGACAUCAACAUUCUUUUCAGAACAAACAAGACAGGGAAAUCUUAUCUCCUGUUUGUUUUCUCGUCAGCCGCCCCACUUCCCUCAUGACUGCCAGCCGUCUUUGAUGUCAACUAACCGAGACUAGAAUGUCUGCUGCUCAAGGAACCUGGGAGACCUAGCA